rnacentral:lncRNA from 1 species
GAUGGAGGCGUGGGCUGACGUCAGCAGAGGUGUGGACAAUGUAGAAGAGAGGAGAGUGACGUCCACAUAAGGGUGGUAGAGAGAAUGAAGAGAAAAAGAAAGUGGGAUAAGAAAGAGAGGAAGGUAUGGCGCGGAAAGAGACAGAGGGAGGAAAAAAGAAAGAGAGAGUAGAAAGUAAAAGGAAUAAUAGUAUUUUUACUAAUUUAUUAAAAAUUAAUUUUGAUCCAAUCUGUAAAAUAUAAAAAAAAAAUUCUAAUUAAUAAAUUUUUAGUACAAAUUAGUUUUUUUUAUUAUUAUUACAAAGGAAAAAGUAUGAAAUCACUUUCAAGACAAUACCAUAU